GACAUAUCACGCUGAAACAACGGUUCUCGUACGAUCACCGAGGUUAAGCAAGGUAGAGCCUGGUCAGUAACUAGAUGGGUGACCUCUUGGGAAUAUCAGGUGCUGUAAG